GACGUAGGGCGCGAGCGUUGUCCGGAAUUAUUGGGCGUAAAGAGCUCGUAGGCGGUUUGUUGCGUCGGCUGUGAAAUCCCGAGGCUCAACCUCGGGUCUGCAGUCGAUACUCUCGUGCUUGAGCACUGUAGAGGCAGGUGGAAUUCCGGGUGUAGCGGUGGAAUGCGUAGAGAUCCGGAAGAACACCGGUGGCGAAGGCGGCCUGCUGGGCAGUAGCUGACACUGAGGCGCGACAGCGUGGGGAGCAAACAGG
rnacentral:rRNA from 1 species